CGCUGGCGGCGUGCCUAACACAUGCAAGUCGAACGAAGCUCCUGCGUUGAUUCUUCGGAUGAAACAAGGGAAGACUUAGUGGCGGACGGGUGAGUAACGCGUGAGCAACCUGCCUUUCAGAGGGGGGAUAACAGUUGGAAACGACUGCUAAUACCGCAUAACGUAUUGAUGUCGCAUGGCAUUGAUACCAAAGCUGAGGCGCUGAGAGAUGGGCUCGCGUCCGAUUAGAUAGUUGGUGGGGUAACGGCCUACCAAGUCGACGAUCGGUAGCCGGACUGAGAGGUUGAACGGCCACAUUGGGACUGAGACACGGCCCAGACUCCUACGGGAGGCAGCAGGUGGGGGAUAUUGCACAAUGGGCGAAAGCCCUGAUGCAGCAACGCCGCGUGAGGGAAGUACGGUUUUCGGAUUGUAAACCUCUGUCUUUGGUGAAGAAGGAAGUGACGGUAGCCAAGGAGGAAGCCACGGCUAACUACGUGCCAGCCGCCGC
rnacentral:rRNA from 1 species